CCUGUAACGCCUCGUUAGUAAAAGCAACGUGUUCGUCAAAGAAUGACACGCAUGUAACAGAGCGACAGAUGUUACACUUGUAUGUAAUCACGGAGUUAGUGAAUAUACAGAUCGUAAAAGCUUAGAUCGUGUUAUCAAUGCCGACAUCAAUGGGUUAAUCGUUCUCCUUAACCGUGAGAAAGUUAAUUGAAUAUAUUCUUUAGUAUACCAACAGAUAAACUCACCGGCUUUUCGCUCAGGAACCGUGACUGCAACGCCAAGACGUAAUAGAGCCAGAACAGCCUCAAGCAAUAGCCGUAAAUUAACCAAUCGGCAUUGUCCGCGUACUUGACGUCUCUUGGAUCGGUGCAGUUCGUCCGAUAGACAGGCGUCAAUGCGAAGUAUCGCUGCCAAGUGCUGUUCACGGGUAUCAACUGCUGGGGCACUUGAUUCUGAUAGGUGAGCAGGGCCAGGAUAUGAAGGAUCACGACGGCCAUCACGAUCCUGCAUAAUACAGCGAAACCCUUUCGGAGCUCUUUAUUGCACGCCCACCAAGUUGCGGCACCCAGAAAGACGAGGAAGUAGAAACCACCCUCUAUCGAUGGUUUCAGGGACGCCGUGAUGCAGAGCGACGCGAGGACCACAUAGGUGCCGAUUCGUCCGAGGAAAUUGAUGAUCUGGAUGGACAAACUUACUAAAGUUAGCUACGAGCUAAAAUUUUUUAUCCACUUACGCAAGAACAUUACCGGCUAAAAUUUUGGAACCAAUGUGUGUUCUGUGCAAACGUUAAAUUUAAUUAACUUGGAAGAUUCAACUUUCAACGUUUGUAGCGUCAAUCUCGAGUUGAAAUAAAAUUAGCGAAUUGAUACAAUUGGAAAAGUGAUUCCAAAAUUUUAUCUACUGUAGGUAAAGUAAGAUUUUGGCGCAGCGUUUAGGCACAUAAUUUCACAGAUUGCCCGAUUUAACAUAUAAUAUAUUAUAUGCAAUUUAUUAUUAAAUUGCAUAUUACGA